AUUGUGUUGUGGUCAUUUUGUUAUUGCAGGAAGCAUCUUCAAAAAGCAGUGCUACAAGGAUGUGAGCAGCAGUUUCCCUUCAACGAAGGGGUCAAAUUCAUGGAAGCCACGUGCCUGCUGCUUCUGGCCUACACAAACAUGCAGCCACCAUAGUAAAGUUCUUGCAAAGACAUUCUACACGAACUUGCCCAAAGGUGGAAGGAAGGCACGCACAGAUGGACGCACAGAAAUCAUGGGGCUGCCGUAGAAGCUGUGAAUGAGCAUUAACCUACGUACAGAAAGGAGCGAAGUGGAGCUGUCCAUGGGCCGUGCACACAGUUUCAUAAGCAGGCUUGCAACACUUUUGACAAAUAUGUUCCUAAAUACAUCUGCCAAAGUGGCAU